GACGAACGCUGGCGGCGUGCUUAACACAUGCAAGUCGAACGAUGAACCCGGAGCUUGCUCCGGUGGAUUAGAGGCGAACGGGUGAGUAACACGUGAGUAACCUGCCCUUGACUCUGGGAUAACUGCGGGAAACUGUAGCUAAUACCGGAUACGACCCUCGGCGGCAUCGCCAGGGGGUGGCAAGAAUUUCGGUCAAGGAUGGACUCGCGGCCUAUCAGCUAGUUGGUGAGGUAACGGCUCGCCAAGGCGACGACGGGUAGCCGGCCUGAGAGGGUGACCGGCCACACUGGGACUGAGACACGGCCCAGACUCCUACGGGAGGCAGCAGUGGGGAAUAUUGCACAAUGGGCGCAAGCCUGAUGCAGCAACGCCGCGUGAGGGAUGACGGCCUUCGGGUUGUAAACCUCUUUUAGUAGGGAAGAAGCGAAAGUGACGGUACCUGCAGAAAAAGCACCGGCUAACUACGUGCCAGCAGCCGCGGUAACAC
rnacentral:rRNA from 1 species